rnacentral:rRNA from 1 species
CAGUUCAGAUUGCAGGCUGCAACCCGCCUGCAUGAAGUCGGAAUUGCUAGUAAUCGCGGAUCAGCAUGCCGCGGUGAAUGCGUUCCCGGGUCUUGUACACACCGCCCGUCACACCACGGAAGUUGGGGGCGCCCGAAGCCACUUAGCUAACCCUUUUGGGAAGCGAGUGUCGAAGGUGAAAUCAAUAACUGGGGUGAAGUCGUAACAAGGUAAC